CAUUAUCAAUUUUACAGUCCUGGGAUGGGGGUAAAAACUCCAUCCCAUGCUGUUCAACCCUUUGUCUUUUGCGUACUGUAUGUUUCCUCGGCGGGUUCGCCCGCCGAUAGGACACUUCAAAACCUUUUGUAAUUGCAAUCAGCGUCAGAAAAACUAUAAUAGUUACAACUUUCAACAACGGAUCUCUUGGUUCUGGCAUCGAUGAAGAACGCAGCGAAAUGCGAAAAGUAGUGUGAAUUGCAGAAUUCAGUGAAUCAUCGAAUCUUUGAACGCACAUUGCGCCCCUUGGUAUUCCAUGGGGCAUGCCUGUUCGAGCGUCAUUUGUACCCUCAAGCUCUGCUUGGUGUUGGGUGUUUGUCCCGCCUUCGCGUGUGGACUCGCCUUAAAGUCAUUGGCAGCCGGAAUAAUUCUGGGGAACGCAGCACAACUGCAGCCUCCAUUUUACGCCGAGCGUCCAGUAAGCCUUUUUUUCACGUUUGACCUCGGAUCAGGUAGGGAUACCCGCUGAACUUAAGCAUAUCAAA
rnacentral:rRNA from 1 species